rnacentral:lncRNA from 1 species
UCUGAUUGUCCUGUCUGCUUAUUGCGAAUCACCUUUAUAGAGACAACCUGUGUAUCAAAACAAAUGUACAGAUAUACAUAUCAGGUUAGUUUCAAGUGUGUGUUCAUACAACAAUAUCAGGUUACUUUUAUAGAGACAAACUGUGUAUCAAAACACAUGUACAGAUAUACAUAUCAGGUUAGUUUCAAGUCUGUGGUCAUACAACAAUAUAAGGUUACCUUCUAGUCUCCUACACAUGCAACAAAUCAUAACUCAAAAUAUGAUAAGUACAAGCAUCUACUUUUCAAAAUGAAAUUAACCAUUCUUUAGUUUGUGCAUACUUAAUGACUGAUCAUCAGAUUAGUGCCAAUACCACGACCACAAUAGACUAGAAUUGCAAGAGAGAAGGAAAAACUUAAUGGACCCCGAGAAGGAUAGGUGCAUCCAACUGAUAUUGGCUGAUUCCAACCAUUUUCAGCAAAAGCAAAGGUGGGUUAAAAUAUUGGGAAGAAUAACGUGGGUAUGGCCAAUUCAAGACCAGAUCUUCCAAUCCAGAUCUAUCCUUCAGACCUUGAAUGAAGUACCUAGACAACAAGAGGCAAGUUAAGCAAGGCUAUAGGCAAAAUUAUGGUAAGAUUUGGAGCGAGGCAAGCCAAAGAAGGUUGGUUUCCAUGGUGUCUCAGAUAGCAUCAAAAUAGGACUAGGUGCAAAUAAGGAUCAUAACAAUGUAAUACUGUUAAUAAAAUACACAUGCGUUUUAACCUUUCCUACUUAAUGCAUGUGACUUUGUCAAGUUUUAGCCUUUACCACUGAUACUUGGUCCGUUUGCAUAAUUGACAAGACACAUGAGUGGCAUAAGUGGGGAUGAUGCUCAAUCCUUAUAAUUUAAGCAAACAAAUCUAAGAAGGAAGCAGUUAUUGUGUUCCUUAAGUACAAAAAAAAGCCAGAGAACAGUCGUAAAAGAAAUUGCAUAUCCCUAAGCUUCGGAUGCAUGUAGAAAUUGUCCGAAGUAAAGCAUAUCCACAAUGUUGCAUAUAUUUCCUGAGGAAAAGAUGCCAUGCAAAUAAGACAAUAAUAAUAAUAAUCAAUCUAUAAAUAUUGGGGAGGCAACAGAUUAUUUGUCUUCACAAUGUUAGCUGGUCAACAAAGGCCACUUUUCUUGAAAGCAAUCUCCUUAAUUUGAAGUAUAAGAAGAAGUUCUAUCCCACCAACGGAAUGGACAGUCAUUUACAGAUUAGAAUGCUUUUAUAAACCAAUUAUUCCCUAAGUAAAAUUUCCCAAAAAAUAUAUAUAACAACAGUUGAGAUUAAAUUUCGCAAUGGUAUGUUUAAAAUGUAGCUUUUAUAGUCUUAAUUUCUAACAUAAAUGAUAAAAUUAUCCACAUCUCAUGCAGAUAUAAACUAAAAGGAAUCAUUAUCAUUUUGUUCAUGCAUCCGGCGACCUAUAAACUCAAACAUCCAUAUGUACUCCAAGCAUAUAUAUAUAGCAAACGGAAGGAUUCAGGAAGACCCAAUUCAUAUUUAAGAAAGAGAAGAAUCUUCUCAUCAAUUAGGAAGAACGACAACAU